GGUUGUGGCUCAGCGGUUGAGCGCUCGCCUCACACUUGCGGGAGGGACCCUGGGUUCAAUCCUCAGCACCA
rnacentral:tRNA from 1 species